rnacentral:lncRNA from 1 species
UAACCACAAAAAUGAUACCUCGAAAAAUAAUUCUGGUGAGUUUCGUGUAAUAUUGGAAGAAAAGGAACAAGCUUUAUUAGCUGCACAGGAAACAAUCCAGAUAUUACACGCGAAAGUUCGGCGUUUAGAGCAUUUGCUUCAGCUAAAAGAUCUUCGCAUCAAUGAGUUGAAAGAAUCAUCUCAACAGCAACAACAGCAGCAGCCUGUGAUCUUUAACCAGACUCAAGCAGAACAUCAAAAUAUACCACUUGUAAAUCAAAACUAUGUUCUUCCUCCCCCAUCACAUUUGUACCCUUACCAACAAAAUGGUAGUUUGUCUGGUCAAAUCACGUCUCUUCCGUUAAUUAACAACAAACAAAAUUUUAAAGAUAAUCGGGGGGUGCAGCUUGAUAAAGAUUCGCGCUAUGCAAGGUAAGAAACCGAAUGCUUGAGCUUCAAUUACCACACUUUUAAAAUUUUAUUAGCACGCACUUUUGUUGUAUAAAAAACACUGAAAACAUUUGGUUUUGUGAUCGUAUUUUUUAUUUAAUUUUUUUUUUU